AUUGAACGCUGGCGGAAUGCUUUACACAUGCAAGUCGAGCGGCAGCACGGGGGCAACCCUGGUGGCGAGCGGCGAACGGGUGAGUAAUACAUCGGAACAUGCCCAGUCGUGGGGGAUAACACUUCGAAAGAAGUGCUAAUACCGCAUACGUCCUGAGGGAGAAAGCGGGGGAUCGCAAGACCUCGCGCGAUUGGAGUGGCCGCUGUCAGAUUAGCUAGUUGGUGGGGUAAAGGCCUACCAAGGCAACGAUCUGUAGCUGGUCUGAGAGGAUGAUCAGCAACACUGGGACUGAGACACGGCCCAGACGCCUACGGGAGGCAGCAGUGGGGAAUUUUGGACAAUGGGGGCAACCCUGAUCCAGCCAUUCCGCGUGAGUGAAGAAGGCCUUCGGGUUGUAAAGCUCUUUCGGCAGGAACGAAACGGUGAGCUCUAACAUAGCUUGCUAAUGACGGUACCUGAAGAAGAAGCACCGGCUAACUACGUGCCAGCCGCCGCGGUAAUAC
rnacentral:rRNA from 1 species